UACAAUAUUUAGACUCUUCGUCUUAUUUGAAAUUUUUUUACGAUUAAUACUUUUACUCUUACUAAAUGAUAAAAUAUAAAUAGUACUUUAUGGGUGACUAAUUUUCUUAAACUUAAGUUUUUUACAAAUUUUUUAAAUAAGACGAAUAGUCAAACAUUGUACACGGAAA
rnacentral:pre_miRNA from 1 species